UAGAAGGGGUCUGUUGUGUCCCAAAAUCCAAUCCAAUCCCUCAUCCACUUCCAGGAGCAUGUUCGUGUUCCUCUGGUGGCCUCGUUUAAGCUGUCAUAGCUAUAUCAAUAACAUGUGAGAGGUUUGGCGGUGGCACUGAGCAGUGUUGAUUGAGAUUCCGGUUUUAACUUGAAACGUCCAUUUCAUCUAAUUGCCGACGGUGCAAGGACAGUUGGAAUUGCGCAGCAUCGAAAGAGUGACAUGUUGGUGAAGGUCCAAUACCAAAAAUGCAAGAAGUUCAUGAAGUUGCAUCCUGGGUUCUCUUAUGGAGAUUUCAUCAAUCAAGUCAAAAAUAGGUUUGGACUGCCCUCUGCAGCACAAAUACACAUUUUUGAUGAUUCCCAAACUGAGGUGGAGGAGGAUGUCCUGCUGGACCUGAUUGAGGCCAAUCCAGACCUGUGCCUCACAAUCAAAGAUCUAGAAUCUAGAUGAAGACUUUUCUUCUGCAGGCUGUUCGACACCUAGUUCAUGCACAGACACAUUAUCCCUCUCGUCAAGUGAUUUAGACCUGAGAUCUCCAGAAAGACCAUCUAAAAAGGCCAACGCAACCUUAUGAAAUGAGGCCAUCGACUCCGCAGCAGUAAAAUAGAUGGUCCGAGAUGCCCUGACUAGUAGACCUGGUGGGCAAGACUUAUUUAGAAGAGGACCAGACAACCAAAACAUUGGACCACAGAACCAGGAGAGAGAUGAUUGCCAUCUUAGUCAGCCACAUGAAAGAGAUGCAUGGGUUAGCUUCUCAUUAGCCAAUAUGGCCACAAACAAUGGAUCAAAACAAUCAAACUACACAUUAAUGUUAUUUGGCAUCAUUAUGAGACUAGAAAGAUACAGUACCUUCAUCAACAAAACUUUGGUUAAACAUAUUUGGAGUGUGUAUGCUUUACUGUUUUUGAGCAGGAGGCUUCCCACUUGUCAACAGAGAGAACGUUAUGCUCUUGGAAUUGUGACCCUCUUUCCUUCGUUGAGAGAUCAUUUUUCCGCCAAAGGCUAUGUAAGUGCUGGUAGAGCAUGCUUGCUUUAAUAUUUUGACACUUGUUCUGUGGACUGAAAGGGGCAUCAAACCAUCAUAGAAUCAAGUCUAAAAAUGAUAACUAUUUGACUACCAUGUUGGUCACCUUUCCCCACAUCUAAGGAACACUUCUAUGAUCCUGACACAAAUCAAAUCAAAUCAA